GCUGAAAGCAUCUAAGCACGAAACUUGCCCCGAGAUGAGUUCUCCCUGACUCCUUGAGAGUCCUGAAGGAACGUUGAAGACGACGACGUUGAUAGGCCGGGUGUGUAAGCGCAGCGAUGCGUUGAGCUAACCGGUACUAAUGAACCGUGAGGCUUAACCUUACAACGCCGAAGCUGUU
rnacentral:rRNA from 1 species